AAGCGGUGGAGCAUGUGGUUUAAUUCGACGCAACGCGAAGAACCUUACCAGGAAUUGACAUCCCCUGACAACUUAUGAAAGUAGGUCUUCGUACCUUCGGGUAGACAGGGAGACAGGUGGUGCAUGGUUGUCGUCAGCUCGUGUCGUGAGAUGUUGGUUAAGUCCCGCAACGAGCGCAACCCUUACGGUUAGUUGCCAGCGGUUAAAGCCGGGCACUCUAGCUGAACUGCCGUUGACAAAACGGAGGAAGGUGGGGAUGACGUCAAAUCAUCAUGCCCUUUAUAUCCUGGGCUACACACGUGCUACAAUGGCCUGUACAGAGGGCAGCGAAGGGGCAACCUGGAGCGAAUCCCAAAAAGCAGGUCUCAGUUCGGAUUGCAGGCUGCAACUCGCCUGCAUGAAGUCGGAAUCGCUAGUAAUCGCAGGUCAGCAUACUGCGGUGAAUACGUUCCCGGGCCUU
rnacentral:rRNA from 1 species